UUGCUUCGGCGGGCCCGCCGUUUCGACGGCCGCCGGGGAGGCCUUGCGCCCCCGGGCCCGCGCCCGCCGAAGACCCCAACAUGAACGCUGUUCUGAAAGUAUGCAGUCUGAGUUGAUUAUCGUAAUCAGUUAAAACUUUCAACAACGGAUCUCUUGGUUCCGGCAUCGAUGAAGAACGCAGCGAAAUGCGAUAAGUAAUGUGAAUUGCAGAAUUCAGUGAAUCAUCGAGUCUUUGAACGCACAUUGCGCCCCCUGGUAUUCCGGGGGGCAUGCCUGUCCGAGCGUCAUUGCUGCCCUCAAGCACGGCUUGUGUGUUGGGCCCCCGUCCCCCUCUCCCGGGGGACGGGCCCGAAAGGCAGCGGCGGCACCGCGUCCGGUCCUCGAGCGUAUGGGGCUUUGUCACCUGCUCUGUAGGCCCGGCCGGCGCCAGCCGACACCCAACUUUAUUUUUCUAAGGUUGACCUCGGAUCAGGUAGGGAUACCCGCUGAACUUAAGCAUAUCAAUAAGCGGAGGAAAAGAAACCAACAGGGAUUGCCUCAGUAACGGCGAGUGAAGCGGCAAGAGCUCAAAUUUGAAAGCUGGCCCCUUCGGGGUCCGCGUUGUAAUUUGCAGAGGAUGCUUCGGGUGCAGCCCCCGUCUAAGUGCCCUGGAACGGGCCGUCAUAGAGGGUGAGAAUCCCGUCUGGGACGGGGUGUCUGCGUCCGUGUGAAGCUCCUUCGACGAGUCGAGUUGUUUGGGAAUGCAGCUCUAA
rnacentral:rRNA from 1 species